AUCACAGGUUUUUCUGUGAGCACGCUGACUUCCCAAUGUCAUUGAUUAAGGCAGAGACAGUGCUCUAGGGGACACAGUUUCCUGAGAGAUGACUCCUAAGAGUGCCACACGGACCUCUGCAUCUUAAAGCGGUGCUUUGCACUCGUGCCUGGGUUUAAUUUGCAGUUUAAAAUAUAGAUGCGUUUGGAGUGCUCAGUGCCUGUCCCUGCUCCAUCUGCGGUGGCUGCAGAGAGGGUGAAGAGCUUGCAUGAUCUGAUGCUGGGGCUUCUGUGUUUAAGAAGCGCUGUUCAGAAGACCGCUGCCUUUUGCCAAAUAAAAAGCUGGCAUGGAUCUGUGAUGAUGGAUCUGAAACUGAGGAGCUGUGAUUUCAGGCAGGGGAGGGGGGAGUUUCUAGCCCUCUCUACCCCAUUGUGACCCUCAAAUUGGCCUUGAGACACCUUUGAGAGCACAAAGAAGUGAAUACAGAAGCUUCCACACAAGGCUACAUUUUCUCUUUCUCCUUUCCUCUGUCUUGCCUGUAUCACUCACCUGGCAGGCACCAGCCAUUGUGUGGCUCAAGGUUCCUGUGUUUCUACAACAGUCAGAGCACAGAAGGCUCAGCAUGUGGUCCAAGGGCGACACUUUCACUCUCAGACUGCUGGUCAAUGAGCCAAGCCCUUGAACCUCUUCUGGGCUGCCAGAGUAUUUCAUGGAUAUCAAAAUCUCCUGCGUCAGGCUCACAGAGCAGAAGCUGUGACUGAAGGCUCACCCAUACCAGCUACACAGGCUGUGGGAGCAUUGAAGAGAUGCUUGUUAUCAUCCAGCUAGGCUAAUCCAUUUUAUAAAGUCCCAAGGACUGGCGCCUGGUUGCUAAGUGAUUUAGACACAGCCUUUUCCUGCACUCUUAAAACAUUUCCCGAAAGUCUUCAUUGGCCAUGGCAUGACUCUGCUAGCUGUGCCGUGCUCCCAGUACUUAGGAGCUGUGCUCCCAGUACUUUAGGAGUACUGUCUGUCUUGAGACCAGGUGGUCCCUUGUAGAACUGGGAUGGGAUCUGAUGCUGUGUUGGUCUCAUAACUGGACAUGUGGGAAUACUUUUUAACUCCCCUUAGAAAGAACUUAUCAAUAAGGCAAUAAACUUAUCAAUAAACUUGUUUGUUUACAUAA